UUACGGGGUGCAGCAGGCGCGAAACCUCUGCAAUAGGCGAAAGCCUGACAGGGUUAUUCUGAGUGACUUUCGCUAAGAAAGUCUUUUGACGUCUCUAAAAAUGGUGUAGAAUAAGGGGUGGGCAAGUCUGGUGUCAGCCGCCGCGGUAAUACCAGCACCCCGAGUGGUCGGGACGAUUAUUGGGCCUGAAGCAUCCGUAGCCGGUUCUACAAGUCUUCCGUUAAAUCCACCUGCUCAACAGAUGGGCUGCGGAAGAUACUAUGGAGCUAGGAGGCGGGAGAGGCAAGCGGUACUCGAUGGGUAGGGGUAAAAUCCGUUGAUCCAUUGAAGACCACCAGUGGCGAAGGCGGCUUGCCAGAACGCGCUCGACGGUGAGGGAUGAAGGCUGGGGGAGCAAACCGGAUUAGAUACCCGGGUAGUCCCAGCUGUAAACGAUGCAGACUCGGUGAUGAGUUGGCUUUAUGCCAACUCAGUGCCGCAGGGAAGCCGUUAAGUUUGCCGCCUGGGGAGUACGGUCGCAAGACUGAAACUUAAAGAAUCACU
rnacentral:rRNA from 1 species